AACCAUUUGAAUUCUGCCAAAACACUGCAUUUUUGCUCUGUUUUUUGCUUAAUACCUAACCUUAAUAAAGUAGUAGCUAGUAAUACUAACAAUUGUGAGAGAGAGACUAACCUGAGAGGUGUGCUUACAGACAGCAUUGAGUCUUAUAUAUAUAACAACUCAACAGAGCAUAAAAAUGAAACUCUAAGCGAGUUUGAAAAUAAAAUUCGCAGAAAAGGUUGGAAGAUUCCAGGUACUACUCCUGAUGACGGCAAUUGUUUCUUUUGGGCCAGCAGUGAUCAGUUACAUGCCCUUGGGAUGACUCAACAAAGUCACACUCAGUUGAGAAGCAAAGUAAUUCAUCACAUGCAAAACUUACCAGAGACUGACAAAUUGGAAUUAGAGCAAAUCUUGGCAAGUGACUUAACCAAAUAUAUAGAAAAUAUGUCAAAGAAUGGAACCUUAGAUACAGACCAUGUGUGUUUACAGAAUAUGUGCAAAGCCCUGUCUUGCAAGAUAAAUGUGUUCAUGGGGAUACUCCUAACAUAACCAUUGGAGAUGGAGACAGUUCCCUACCAACAUUGUUGAUGGUAACAUUCCAGAAAUAGAACAUUAUGUUAGCUUGCAGCGUUUAAAUAGGUAAUAUCACAGGCAGAUGAUGACAUCCAAGUUAGGUACCUUAAAGCAAGUGGAGGUGCUGACGAGUACAAUUGGCCAGCCAAGGAGGAUGUGUCCUGGCAGUCCUUGGAAGAUAUUGUUCAGACAAUUAAAAUGACAAUUCUUCUUUCUGGGCGCGGAAUACCGCUUCAAUUUUUAACUUGAAUGACUUAAGAUCAUAGAAAUCAUAUAUUUUCAAAUUAACAGUUCAAAGUGCACAUCUUGUGUCAGGAGUGUAACACAGUUUGAACAGUUCAUGUUAAAGUUUGUACUUUAUGUAGUUUAAAUUUGUAGCUUCUUUUUAUCUUUUUAUUUAAAUAAAUGUUCUCUUAAACCAGCAUGGUUUUCUACCAGGGGUAGAAAGCAAGUAGAACAUAUAUAAAAAAGAAAAUGUUUACACUCAGAUGGUUCACAUAUAUAUAGUAAAGGUUUGAAAAAGGUCACUUAUUUUUUAACAAAGUGUUUUUAAAAAGGCAAGAUAAACAAAAAGGAACAAUUAACAUAGAAAACUUAUACUUGUCUUAAGUAUUUCAUUAAAAAAUAUUUUAAAUCAAUAUUUUAAGAUAUUAAGUCUCUUGCCUGAAUGUGUCAGGAGUGUAACACUCAAAUGUUAAAGUGAAAUUGUGCAUUUUUUUGUGAAAUAGAUUCUUCAUGGUCAUUUUAAUAUUAAAUUCCUAUUGGUUAGGAACAGAAGCUUAAUUAAUGUUUAUAACCUUUAUUUCCAUUUAUUUUCUAAUUGUUUACAUGUUAGAAACUUGUUUGUGGUUUUAAGUGUAACUUCAUAUCUAUGCUCUAAGAAUUAUUCUCAAAUGUAAUAACCUAUCAGUAUGUUUUCAAAAAUCAGUCGUGUUCUGUACAUGUGUUUCUUAU